rnacentral:rRNA from 1 species
UACGGAGGGUGCGAGCGUUAUCCGGAUUCACUGGGUUUAAAGGGUGCGUAGGCGGGUUGGUAAGUCCGUGGUGAAAUCUCCGAGCUUAACUCGGAAACUGCCGUGGAUACUAUCAAUCUUGAAUAUCGUGGAGGUAAGCGGAAUAUGUCAUGUAGCGGUGAAAUGCUUAGAUAUGACAUAGAACACCAAUUGCGUAGGCAGCUUACUACACGAUCAUUGACGCUGAGGCACGAAAAGCGUGGGGAGCAAACAGG